rnacentral:lncRNA from 1 species
UAACUCAAUAAAAGAAGUAUGUUAUACCACGCAACCUAAAGCCACAAAACAGAAUUGAAAGCGGUUGGUAUCGGUUUUCUUAAUGGCUGUGAAGGUAUUAGGAUUUGUUCUUUGAAGGUUAUGCAAGAAAAUUGGUAGUUGAGAAAAGGUUCUUUCGCUGUAACUACUCAUUUUCAAUACCGAUGAUAGUGCUCUACAAUCAUCACACAAAUGCAAUAUGAAACAAAUGCAAUUAUAAAUAGAAAAUAUUGUAUCUCUACUGAUCAAAAUUCAUAGUUUAACCUUUUAAAUUCAUAGUUCAACUUUUUGAAUUCAUAGUCAAACCAGUUCAUUUCAUAGUCAAAUUUCACUGACCGACAUGACAAUACUACAGAAUGUACUUGUCUGCAUUUCAUAGUUCAACUUUUUGAAUUCAUAGUCAAACCAGUUCAUUUCAUAGUCAAAUUUCACUGACCGACAUGACAAUACUACAGAAUGUACUUGUCUGCAUUUCAUAGUUGAACUUUUUGAAUUCAUAGUCAAACCAGUUCAUUUCAUAGUCAAAUUUCACUGACCGACAUGACAAUACUACAGAAUGUACUUGUCUGCAUUUCAUAGUUCAACUUUUUGAAUUCAUAGUCAAACCAGUUCAUUUCAUAGUCAAAUUUCACUGACCGACAUGACAAUACUACAGAAUGUACUUGUCUGCAUUUCAUAGUUCAACUUUUUGAAUUCAUAGUCAAACCAGUUCAUUUCAUAGUCAAAAAGAAUUGUCUGUAAUAUGAUUUCUUCUAUAAAUGGGUGUCACUCAUUAUGAAAAAUUUAACUGAGAAAGUAACUCCGAUUUAAAAGAAAAAGAAGGCUAAUGGCAUACUGCAAUUGCGGAGGAGAACGUAUCGUUAGGAUUUCGGGUACAGCUAAAAACCCAGGAAGAUUGUUUUACGCUUGCCCAUAUUUGGUAUCAUGUUGUUAACGUCAUUCAAAUUUAAACCCUCGUGUUUACAUCACAAAAAUUUAUUUUCUUACUGUGAAUAUUAAAUUUAACAGGGACCAAAAUGCGGGUUUAUCAGUUGGGUUGAUGAAGAGAAGGACCAAUCUUCUAUGGUAAUAGCUAAAGUAGCUAACUCUAAUAAGCUCUUUCAAUCAGAAAAUAAGAAGUUAAAGAUAGCGUUGGUUUGUAGUUGGGUGUUGUUCUUGGCAGUUCUUGUUUACAAGUUGUAAGCUUUUCAAUAUUGUUUUUAUGGUUUUGAAGUUGUUAGGUCAAUAAAUUGUUGUAUUUGUAACGUUAAAACAAAUGUUGUAGUCGUUCUUAUGUUGUAUGUAUUGAUAAGUAAUUAGUAGGUCAUUAAUUUGUUGUAAUUGUCGUAACGUUAUAUUUUUUGCCAUCCGUUGAGUAAACUGUAAAAAUAAACUAAUAAUGAAAUCCAACAUUAAUUUAUAUAUACAUUUAUAUAAUCCAACUACAUAGGACCAAGACUAGACCCCCAAAUAAUUUUUGUCAUCCGUAGACGGAACUCUAAAGCUGCGUUCUUUGGGUCAAUAAGAACACGUAUUGGUUGACCUGAAACCAAUUGCUCCAUAAACAUACAAACAAAAACACCGCAAUCUCCCAAAUGACUACUUUGUUGGGGAACAUUUUCUUCAUAAAUGAAUUGCAUAUUCAAUGGAAUCCUUGGGAUGUUCCUCCGGGCCCAAUACUUAAUCUUGUCCAAAUAAUUUGCCACCCGACGUUCAAAUUUGGAAAAGAUUCCUUCAGAUUUGAAUUUUUCAUAAGCCCCUCUACCAAGACUGUCAUAAAUAUGCACUUCCAUUGACGCUAAUCGUAGUUCCCCAAAUAGCCAAUGAUUAGGGGAUGAAUGAAUCGGCAAUAAGACCUGUAUAAGGAUCAGAA